CUGCCCUGCACAGGGGGACAACAGCUAGAAAUGGCUGCUAAUACCGCAUAAGCCUACAGCCUCGCAUGAGGGAGCAGGAAAAGAAAUUCGGUGCAGGAUGAGUCCGCGUCUGAUUAGCUAGUUGGAGGGGUAAAAGCCCACCAAGGCAACGAACAGUAGCCGGCCUGAGAGGGCGACCGGCCACAUUGGGACUGAGACACGGCCCAAACUCCUACGGGAGGCAGCAGUGGGGAAUAUUGCACAAUGGGGGAAACCCUGAUGCAGCGACGCCGCGUGAGCGAGGAAGUAUUUCGGUAUGUAAAGCUCUAUCAGCAGGGACGAAGAAAGACGGUACCUGACUAAGAAGCCCCGGCUAACUACGUGCCAGCAGCCGCGGUAAUACGUAGGGGGCAAGCGUUAUCCGGAUUUACUGGGUGUAAAGGGAGCGUAGACGGCAAGGCAAGCCAGAAGUGAAAGGGCAGGGCUCAACCCUGUACAUGCUUCUGGAACUGUGGUGCUAGAGUGCAGGAGAGGUAAGUGGAAUUCCUAGUGUAGCGGUGAAAUGCGUAGAUAUUAGGAGGAACACCAGUGGCGAAGGCGGCUUACUGGACUGUAACUGACGUUGAGGCUCGAAAGCGUGGGGAGCAAACAGGAUUAGAUACCCUGGUAGUCCACGCUGUAAAC
rnacentral:rRNA from 1 species